GGUGGUUAUUGCGGCGGGGCUCACCUCUUCCCAUUCCGAACAGAGAAGUUAAGCCCGCCUGCGCAGAUGGUACUGCAAUUUGUGGGAGAGUAUGUCACCGCCU
rnacentral:rRNA from 1 species